UACGAAGGGGGCUAGCGUUGCUCGGAAUCACUGGGCGUAAAGCGCACGUAGGCGGAUUGUUAAGUCAGGGGUGAAAUCCUGGAGCUCAACUCCAGAACUGCCUUUGAUACUGGCGAUCUCGAGUCCUCGAGAGGUGAGUGGAACUGCGAGUGUAGAGGUGAAAUUCGUAGAUAUUCGCAAGAACACCAGUGGCGAAGGCGGCUCACUGGCCCGGUACUGACGCUGAGGUGCGAAAGCGUGGGGAGCGAACAGG
rnacentral:rRNA from 1 species